UACGAAGGGGGGCUAGCGUUGUUCGGAAUCACUGGGCGUAAAGCGCACGUAGGCGGAUGUGCCAGUCAGGGGUGAAAUCCCGGAGCUCAACUCCGGAACUGCCUCUGAUACAGCACGUCUUGAGUUCGAGAGAGGUGGGUGGAAUUCCUAGUGUAGAGGUGAAAUUCGUAGAUAUUAGGAAGAACACCAGUGGCGAAGGCGGCCAACUGGCCCGAUACUGACGCUCAUGUGC
rnacentral:rRNA from 1 species